rnacentral:tRNA from 1 species
AGCCCUGUGGUGAGAGCACAUCAGAUUGCAAAUCUGAAGACGUAGAUUAAUACUCUGCCGGGGCUU